CCAUGUGCCACCACUCAAUGUCGCCAAUGCCACCACCCCAUGUCCCCAUGUGCCACCACCCCACGUUCCCAUGUGCCACCACCCCGUGUCCCCAGGUGCCACCACCCAAUGUCCCCACGUGCCAACACCCCAUGUGCCACCACCCCACAUCCCCACGUGCCACCACCCCCUGUCCCCAUGUGCCACCAUCCCCAUGUGCCACCACCCAAUGUCCCCAAUGCCACCACCCCAUGUGCCACCACCCCAUGUCCCCAGGUGCUACCACCCAAUGUCCCCGUGGGCCACCACCCCCAUGUCCCCAAUGCUGCCACUCCAAUGUCCCCAUGUGCCACCACCCCAAUGUCCCCAUGUGCCACCACCCAAUGUCCCCAAUGCCACCACCCCAUGUGCCACCACCCCAUGUCCCCAGGUGCUACCACCCAAUGUCCCCAUGUGCCACCACCCCAAUGUCCC
rnacentral:lncRNA from 1 species